CUGCGGAAGGAUCAUUAUUGAAUAAGCUUGGUUAGGUUGUUGCUGGCUCUUCGGGGCAUGUGCACGCCUAACACCAAUYUUCUUACCACCUGUGCACCUUUUGUAGACCUGGAUAACUCUCGAGGAAACUCGGUAUGAGGACUGCUGUGCGUCAAAGCCAGCUUUCCUUACAYUUCCGGUCUAUGUCUUUAUAUACACCAUUUGUAUGACUAUGAAUGUUAUAUCGGACUUGACUGUCCAAAUAAACCUAAUACAACUUUCAACAACGGAUCUCUUGGCUCUCGCAUCGAUGAAGAACGCAGCGAAAUGCGAUAAGUAAUGUGAAUUGCAGAAUUCAGUGAAUCAUCGAAUCUUUGAACGCACCUUGCGCUCCUUGGUAUUCCGAGGAGCAUGCCUGUUUGAGUGUCAUGAAAUUCUCAACCUUUUCGGCUUUUUCUAAGUUGAUCAGGCUUGGAUGUGGGAGUUUGCGGGCUUCUCUGAAGUCGGCUCUCCUUAAAUUCAUUAGUAGGGACCUCUGUUGCCUUAGCUUUUGGUGUGAUAAUUAUCUACGCCAUYAUGUGAAGCAGCUUUAAAUUGGAGGUUACUGCUUUCUAACCGUCUCCCAUGGGACAUUUUCUGACAAUUUGACCUCAAAUCAGGUAGGACUACCCGCUGAACUUAAGCAU
rnacentral:rRNA from 1 species